AACGUAGGUUCCGAGCGUUAUCCGGAUUUACUGGGCGUAAAGCGUGUUCAGGCGGCUUUUCAAGUCGGGCAUGAAAUCUCUCGGCUCAACCGGGAGGGGCUGUCCGAAACUGGGAGGCUUGAGGGCAGUAGAGGGUGGUGGAAUUCCGGGUGUAGUGGUGAAAUGCGUAGAUAUCCGGAGGAACACCAGUGGCGAAAGCGGCCACCUGGACUGUACCUGACGCUCAAACACGAAAGCUAGGGGAGCGAACGGG
rnacentral:rRNA from 1 species